UCUUAGAGCAUGAUUAGUGGGGAUUGCUCUAAUUGUUUCUCUUGUAAAUGGGGCCCAAAAACCUAAUUAAAAACUUAUUUUUUGUCUGUUAAGAAGAGAAUCGAUUUCAAGGGAAGGAAUUUGAGUAACGCAGUAGGAACGCAGUAGCAACGCUACGUGGCGUAUUAUAAUUCGUUGAUGCUAAAAUAUAAAAGAAAUUUUUUCUUUUUUCAUUUUCUUCUUUCUUUUUUUUUCUUUCCCGAUCGUGUCUCUCUCUUCUCUCUUGGUCAAUCGCCGAUUCAUCUGAAAACCGAUAAAAUCAAUCGAUUCACCUCGAAUUGUUUGAUUUUCCGGCUUAAACUAGAGGGUUGUUGGUGUAUGAAACCGAUGGCUUUUCCGGAGCUCUGUUUGAUGUUCUAAAUUAUUAUUUUUUCACAAACGAUUCAAUGGUUGGUGUGACUUUAACGCAGAUGCAUCGGUUUGUAAGUUGUUAGGUUGAAAAAAAUUCUAUUUUGUUUUGAUUUCCGAUGAAGCUUGUGUAGGCUUUGUUCUGUCUAAUUAAUUUCUCUUUGCAUGGAUCUGUUCUGUGAUCUUGUGUAGAAUUUAAGGUCUAGUGUGCCAAAAAAUUGUAAGGCUGGGCAAAUGAAAAAGCUUUUAGUUUUGAUUGAUUAUAUCUCUGGUAUUAUUAUUUUGCAGGGGCUUAUUCGCUUGGGAGGUUUCUUUUUCUGCCUUCAUUUGGUCAAACAGGUGCUGGUGGGAGGCUUUUGCCACCGCCUCUUAGUAUGUUACAGAUAAUUCACAGGAUCUACCUUUUCUUUUGAACAUUAGAUACCAAAGGGAUAUGUUUAAGAGUAUAAUUUAUCAGCCUAUACCAUAUCUCGCUGAAGCUCACAUUCUCACAUUAGGUUCUUGGUCUUAGCAUUGUUGAGGUACCUUUAGGAGUUUGUGUAUGACUGCUUGAUGGGUGCUAGUAGUGAGUUUUCAAGCUGCUAGUGUGUUCUGUUUUUAACAAGAUGGUUGAGCAGGGAUUCUGUUCUAGUUUCAGUUGUUUAAACAGGUUAUUGUGGUGAGUCUACAAUGGUAUAUACUAUUAGUGAGAUUCACUACAAGUUGAAUGAAAGUGCUUCAGUUGCUGGGCAAGUAUGAGCUUAAAACAGCAACCUUUGUAUUAUUGCUCUUUUUUACGCAGUUGUUGGGCAGGAGGGUGCAUCUAAAGUAGAUCUCAGCAUCCUUCCCAAGUACAGGUUUCAGAGGAUGAACAAUGAUGAAAAGGAAAGUGACGGUUUAGGACUGAGUUCAUAUGUUUCUACCAAAGUCUCCAACAGCUACAACUAGUAGAACAAACGAUGCAACAAGAGGGUGCUUAGAUGGAUUCAAAUGGUUCAACUCAACCAAACCAAACAACAAUGCACUUCUCGUUGGUCUUUUGUCUAGUCUUGCCACUACCUCUUCUGCUUUCCAAAUUUUGUAAAAUAUAUUUAAUAUUCCGAAUAUUGUAAAUUUUAUUGUUU